CGUCGCGGUUAGACGAAGAGCUUAGAUAGAAUUCUUGUUUAUUUUAGUUAACGGUAGAUUUACGAAGAUGAGUUGUUUUUUUUGUUGGGUGAAAUCAAGCUAAAAAAUUAUAAUUUCUUUCAAGAUUUAGAGGUGCUAAAAAAUUUAGAUGCGAAACCAGGAUUAGAUACCCUGUUAUUCUAAAUUAUUUUUUUAACUGGGUAGUAAAAGUUGUUCUUCAAACCCAAAGAUUUUGGCGGCACUUUAUCCAAAUAGAGGAGCUUGCCCUGUAAUCGAUAACCCUCGUUUUAUCUUUCCUUUAUUUGUUUAGCUUGUAUACCGCCGUUGCCAGAUUACUUUUAUAGGAUGUUUUCAUAAAAGAGGUUUCUCUAACUUCAGGUCAAGGUGCAGUUUAUGUAGGGGUAGAGGUGAGCUACAAUUUUGAUUAGAAAAAUGAAAAUUCAAUUUAUAAGUUGGUGGAAGGUGGAUUUAUUAGUAAGGUAGUUUAAGUAUAAUUAGCUGAAUCAGGUAAUGAAGUGUGCACAUAUCGCCCGUCACUCUCUUCUUAAGAGGAG
rnacentral:rRNA from 1 species